UCAUAGUUCGCUUUGUAGUGGAAAUCCCACAGCAAGCUAUGGGAAAGCUUGGCGCGAGGAAUUGCAACGGAAAGCAGGUUCUCGG
rnacentral:misc_RNA from 1 species